rnacentral:rRNA from 1 species
UACGUAGGGGGCAAGCGUUGUCCGGAUUUAUUGGGCGUAAAGAGCGUGUAGGCGGCCAUGUAGGUCCGUUGUGAAAACUCGAGGCUCAACCUCGAGACGCCGAUGGAAACCAUGUGGCUAGAGUCCGGAAGAGGAGAGUGGAAUUCCUGGUGUAGCGGUGAAAUGCGCAGAUAUCAGGAGGAACACCGAUGGCGAAGGCAGCUCACUGGGACGGUACUGACGCUGAGGCGCGAAAGCGUGGGGAGCAAACAGG